rnacentral:rRNA from 1 species
AGCGGACGCUGGCGGCAGGCUUAACACAUGCAAGUCGAACGCCCGUAGCAAUACGGGAGUGGCAGACGGGUGAGUAACGCGUGGGAACAUGCCCUUUGGUUCGGAAUAACUCAGGGAAACUUGAGCUAAUACCGGAUAAGCCCGAGAGGGGAAAGAUUUAUCGCCGAAGGAUUGGCCCGCGUCCGAUUAGCUAGUUGGUGAGGUAAUGGCUCACCAAGGCGACGAUCGGUAGCUGGUCUGAGAGGAUGAUCAGCCACACUGGGACUGAGACACGGCCCAGACUCCUACGGGAGGCAGCAGUGGGGAAUAUUGGACAAUGGGGGCAACCCUGAUCCAGCCAUGCCGCGUGAGUGAUGAAGGCCCUAGGGUUGUAAAGCUCUUUCGGCGGGGACGAUAAUGACGGUACCCGCAGAAGAAGCCCCGGCUAACUUCGUGCCAGCCGCCGCAGUAACAC